ACGGGGUGCAGCAGGCGCGAAACCUUUGCAAUGUGCGAAAGCACGACAAGGUUAAUCCGAGUGUCUCCUGCUAAAGGAGUCUUUUGUCAGUUGUAGAAUCACUGAUGAAUAAGGGGUGGGCAAGUUCUGGUGUCAGCCGCCGCGGUAAAACCAGCACCUCGAGUGGUCAGGAGGUUUAUUGGGCCUAAAGCAUCCGUAGCCGGUUGCAUAAGUUUUCGGUUAAAUCUAUGCGCUCAACGUAUAGGCCGCCGAAAAUACUGUGCAGCUAGGGAGUGGGAGAGGUACACGGUACUCAAUAGGAAGGGGUAAAAUCCUUUGAUCUAUUGAUGACCACCUGUGGCGAAGGCGGUGUACCAGAACACAUUCGACGGUGAGGGAUGAAAGCUGGGGGAGCAAACCGGAUUAGAUACCCGGGUAGUCCCAGCUGUAAACGAUGCAGACUCGGCGAUGCAUUGGCUUGUGGCCAAUGCAGUGCCGCAGGGAAGCCGUUAAGUCUGCCGCCUGGGAAGUACGUACGCAAGUAUGAAACUUAAAGGAAUUGGCGGGGGAGCAC
rnacentral:rRNA from 2 species